rnacentral:rRNA from 1 species
AGUCGAGGGGUAUAGUUCUUCGGAACUAGAGACCGGCGCACGGGUGCGUAACGCGUAUGCAAUCUACCUUUUACAGAGGGAUAGCCCAGAGAAAUUUGGAUUAAUACCUCAUAGCAUAGCAACUUCGCAUGAAGUCACUAUUAAAGUCACAACGGUAAAAGAUGAGCAUGCGUCCCAUUAGCUAGUUGGUAAGGUAACGGCUUACCAAGGCUACGAUGGGUAGGGGUCCUGAGAGGGAGAUCCCCCACACUGGUACUGAGACACGGACCAGACUCCUACGGGAGGCAGCAGUGAGGAAUAUUGGACAAUGGGCGCAAGCCUGAUCCAGCCAUGCCGCGUGCAGGAUGACGGUCCUAUGGAUUGUAAACUGCUUUUAUACGAGAAGAAACACUCCAACGUGUUGGAGCUUGACGGUAUCGUAAGAAUAAGGAUCGGCUAACUCCGUGCCAGCAGCCGCGGUAAUACGGAGGAUCCAAGCGUUAUCCGGAAUCAUUGGGUUUAAAGGGUCCGUAGGCGGUUUAGUAAGUCAGUGGUGAAAGCCCAUCGCUCAACGGUGGAACGGCCAUUGAUACUGCUAAACUUGAAUUAUUAGGAAGUAACUAGAAUAUGUAGUGUAGCGGUGAAAUGCUUAGAGAUUACAUGGAAUACCAAUUGCGAAGGCAGGUUACUACUAAUGGAUUGACGCUGAUGG